rnacentral:rRNA from 1 species
CAAACCGGGAGAUAGCUGGUUCUCCCCGAAAGCUAUUUAGGUAGCGCCUCGUGAACUCAUCUUCGGGGGUAGAGCACUGUUUCGGCUAGGGGGUCAUCCCGACUUACCAACCCGAUGCAAACUACGAAUACCGAAGAAUGUUAUCACGGGAGACACACGGCGGGUGCUAACGUCCGUCGUGAAGAGGGAAACAACCCAGACCGCCAGCUAAGGUCCCAAAGUCAUGGUUAAGUGGGAAACGAUGUGGGAAGGCACAGACAGCCAGGAUGUUGGCUUAGAAGCAGCCAUCAUUUAAAGAAAGCGUAAUAGCUCACUGGUCGAGUCGGCCUGCGCGGAAGAUGUAACGGGGCUAAACCAUGCACCGAAGCUGCGGCAGCGACACUAUGUGUUGUUGGGUAGGGGAGCGUUCUGUAAGCCUGCGAAGGUGACCUGUGAGGGUUGCUGGAGGUAUCAGAAGUGCGAAUGCUGACAUAAGUAACGAUAAAGCGGGUGAAAAGCCCGCUCGCCGGAAGACCAAGGGUUCCUGUCCAACGUUAAUCGGGGCAGGGUGAGUCGACCCCUAAGGCGAGGCCGAAAGGCGUAGUCGAUGGGAAACAGGUUAAUAUUCCUGUACUUGGUGUUACUGCGAAGGGGGGACGGAGAAGGCUAUGUUAGCCGGGCGACGGUUGUCCCGGUUUAAGCAUGUAGGCUGAUUGUCCAGGCAAAUCCGGAUAAUCAAGGCUGAGGUGUGAUGACGAGGCACUACGGUGCUGAAGUAACAAAUGCCCUGCUUCCAGGAAAAGCCUCUAAGCAUCAGGUAACAU